rnacentral:snRNA from 1 species
AACCACUUCGGUGGUCAUCCGUAAAAAUUGGAACGAUACAAAGAAGAUUAGCAUGGCCCCUGCGCAAUGCUAAAUCGGCCCCUUUUCU